GAUGAACGCUAGCGGCAGGCCUAACACAUGCAAGUCGAGGGGCAUCACGAGGUAGCAAUACUUUGGUGGCGACCGGCGCACGGGUGCGUAACGCGUAUGUAACCUACCUAUAACAGGGGCAUAACACUGAGAAAUUGGUACUAAUUCCCCAUAAUAUUCGGAGAGGCAUCUCUCCGGGUUGAAAACUCCGGUGGUUAUAGAUGGACAUGCGUUGUAUUAGCUAGUUGGUGAGGUAACGGCUCACCAAGGCAACGAUACAUAGGGGGACUGAGAGGUUAACCCCCCAACUGGUACUGAGACACGGACCAGACUCCUACGGGAGGCAGCAGUGAGGAAUAUUGG
rnacentral:rRNA from 1 species